rnacentral:lncRNA from 10 species
GGAGGUUGCAGUGAGCCGAGAUCGAGCAUUCCAGCCUGGGUAAUGAGAGUGAAACUCCUUCUCAAAAAAACAAAAAAAAAACUGAGUUCAGACCGUAUAUAUUCCAUAUCAUUGCUGCAAUUCUAUGUAUAUUAAAUUGAAUUCAUUCUCUUCCAAAACCUGCUUUUUCUUUCUUGCUCUUAGUGAAUUAGCAUUAACCCAAUUUUUUGUCAUUAGAUGAUAUGGACCAUUUCUCUAAGAUCUCCAUUUUUUUCUUUUCUAUCUCG